rnacentral:lncRNA from 1 species
UUUGGCGGGAGCUCCUUACAUCUGGCCUGCUGGAGAAUGGUCUAAGGGACAAUGGGGGUGUAUCUUUCUAUUGCUAUGAAGGUAAUUAAAAGUAUGAAAGGGGUCUCAUCCUGUAUGCAGCGGGAGCUUUGAGAAGUCUUAAACCCAUUCAAGAGCCUGGGAAAUGCGCUCAGGGGUUAAUGUCACUAACAGAUUGCCUCAGUGAAAGAAGAAUAUGGAAGGAUCCUCACGUCCCUUUGUGCGCCAAUUGUUCGUAUCCACUCCCAGUGUGACUUCACCUCAAUGAAGAAGUAAACGAGGGAACUUGGUUAGACUUUGUUUGUAUGAUGGCGCCGAAACCUGAAGGCUCUCAGCCAAAGUUUCAUUAGGAUUUUUUAAAACGUCAGCCCAUGUCUCCCUCUCACUCCCUCUGGUAAAAUACUCAGCCUAAAUUAUUGUUAAAUUCUUGAUCAACAGUUUGUCAGGUGCUCUCUUUUCUCAGCCCCCUCCAUCCUCCCUGUCUCUGUUUAUCCCUGUGCGUAAAUUACCUUCCCGGUGAGAGGGGUCCGGAACUAAGAGCUGUGUCUCCGUGUUGGUCGGCGUGGCGCUGGCCGUGUGUCAGACACUUGCAGUCAGAGGGCCCCUUUGCUCGGGAUUAUGUUUCAGCCCGGUCAAAACCCCUUAACAUUUAAUACUCCAGCGGCGCGUCGCGGGUGCGCAUGGCAGCCACAGGCCAAACAUAAGUCAGUUUUGAAGUGUUUCAGCCCUGCUAGACUACUCGUAUACACAAACAAUUUCACAGAAUCAUUUCACGUUUCUUGGCGUGCGUAAAAGUUAUGUGAGUAAGACCUGGAGCGCAAAACCCUGGAGACAUCCCCUCUACUGACCCUAUAUUGUUGUGAUGUCGUGUUAAGACAGAAAAUAUUUUUAAUAAACUCAAAUAAAAGGAGGAUAAAGGAAAUUGAUGUAAAUACUUUGGUUAGAGGUCGGGAUUGAAAUGAAAAGGCAACAAGCAUUUGCAGCAUCUAGAGAAGACAUAUCACAAUAAAAAUAAAUGCUCUCUAACGUAGCCCCUGUGAAUCUCCACGUAUUUAUCACUGGCAGCUUUCACAUCCUGUCGUAAUUAUUUUCAUCGAACAGUUGAACUGCCUUGUCAAAUCAUGUAGUUGCGUUCUUGCUUUUACCCAGCUGCGUGCCAGUGCCCUGCAGAUGACACCGUGGGUAAAUGGCAUAGUGAAACCCUGCUGCCACUGGUGCUGGAGCAGCUUCCUUUUGCGAUCAGGCAAACUGAAACACCAGUUGGCAGCGUGUGUGGCUUCUGUGGUCGUUUCUACUGCCUUCGUGUCUGAGUUAAUAGUUCAGAGAUGCCUUUGUGGAGCUGAGGUCGUGAGAACCGAGCGAACUAGUCUGCCUGCGGUCGGGCACUGCGCCAGUCAGUAAAUCCCCGCUGGCAGGCGGAGGUGAGGAGGCGAACACACACACGCGUGGCCGCCAAGAAGCGAACUCUUUUCGGUGUAAACAUGAGGGAUCCUGGGGGGACUCGGAUAAAACACCAAACACUCAAGGAGAUGACUGAGAUAUUUCUAAUUUUAUUAAGAAUUAUUUUAUCAGGAUUUAGGCACGACCACGUGAAAGCUGCUGCGCAAUCCCCGUGGUCAUGGACAUACAGGGCAGUAUGAGGUGACGCACAGAAACCAGCAGCUCACCCUUUUGCACUUUUACGCAUCAGCAUGAGCAAGGGUCAUAGUAUCACUGGGUUUACAGCAAGCUGACCGAAUAUCCAGAUGUGGGUUGGCUGAAUUCUGACUUCUAAAUUUAUUCUUUGCUCAGGGUUUUUAAUAUCUGCCUUCAUCAUCUCGAUAACAUGCAGCAAUCGAAUCAGGCGGGAAUCCCUGUUCGGUGAUGAAAAGGAUUCCUAUAGAUGGCAAGAUGUCCCUCGGGGACUUGCGCCAUUACGUCCCCUGGGAGAAGUCGCCAUUGAAGGAGGGGUAGGGGUCAUCAGAGGAGCCACAAAUUAUCAUUCUCAUUAGCGACUGAAUAGAGGAACGCGCGCACCACGUUGCCGCCAAACCUUUAACAUCACAUCUCCCUCCAAAUUUACAACUGCUAUUGUUGCACUGGGCCUUGUUUUGCCAGCAUUAUAUAAUUCUUAUGCGGCUCCAACAAGGACAUCUGUAUAAGUUUCUGAAAUAAGGAAAUGUAAGAAGUAAUACGCACAACAUGCUUAGUUUUUUCAUAUGCCAGCCAGGCUUUGGUUGAUCUUUACUGAAGUGAAAUAAGGAACUAAUGCAAUUGCUCUGCGUCAUCUGUUUCAGUCAGGUUUAAUGUUAAAAAAUGAUUAUCUCCACAACUUUCGGUUGACAGAUCUUUAACAGCUACCAUACAUUAAAAAGUUCCAGUCACCAAUUUUAUUAUCUUUCCAGGCAAAAGGUUUUUCUCAUUGUUGGUAAAAUUAGCUCAUUUUCAUAUCUUUAUCUGGAUGGUGUGAUUGUUAGAUGCCAGAAAACACUUUUUACAACCAAAGUAAUCAUGUAAUUUUAUCUGAUUAUUUCCAAAUAAUCAGUAAAAAAAUAAGACAGAGAUUAUAUCUUUCAAUCAAUCAACAAGUCAUUAUAUGGACACAUACAGAAGCAGCUACACUGGCAGCUAGUCCUCCAAGUCUGUAUUUAAGUGUAGAAAGGAGGCUUGGAUUGUUUGAGAGCUCCUCUGUCUGUGAUGACAGGCUAUAUUUGCCCCUCAAUCUGAAGAGGCUGCAGCUACAGGGACAGAGUGACAUUUUCUGCAUGCUUUAGCCACAGGUUCUGAUAUUAGAUGAGAGGCAGGGCUAGAGUAUGCAACAAACAUUAAGUGUGUGACAGUUUGUGAGUGACUGCCUAAACUGGACACUUCUCCUUGCACCUGUUUUUUUAAGAAUCGCAGAGGGCGAUAGGGAGAGGCAGCUAAGGAUGACAUGAUACACAGGAGGUGUUGAGACUAAGGAAAGAUGUUAGAGAUGUUUCUCUGGAGUGUGGGAUUUAACUGUGAUUAUUUUAGGCUUUGGUUUUCAGAGAGGAAAUCAUGUUAGCAGCAACAAUACAAACUUAUUUAAUUUUCCUUAGUGUCAUAGCACAUCAGAUUCACUGGCACCUUGUUAACAGGUUUUCAUUUCUAUGUUUGAACACUCUCACUCUUCUGGCCCACUCCAGGCUUCCAUCCUGUCUCAGUAUUUAUAGUAAGAGAGCACUUAUUCCCUGCCGGGUGUGAGGUGUUGGGUGUGUGCAGGUGAGGCAGGGUGGGCAGACGCCACGGGACACAUCAAAUGGGAUCAAAUAUCACAGGGUCUGGGUGCUGUGAGGGCUCCCCCUGAUCCUCACCGCUUGUUUGCCAUAUAUUUCUGUAGCCAAGUUUGGCUUUUCAGCAGCUUCUCCUGUUUCAAGGCAUGAGGCAUGAGGCCUAAGGUCUUUGCAACUGGUGCAGAUUCCACAGGAGAAAGUUAAGGGUCCUCUUGACAGGGCGAGAGGUCAUCUUGCAGACUUCUUGGUGGCCUUAAAGAAGUCCUGACCCUAAUGAAGACAGUUUUUAUUUAUGUAUUUAUCUGCUCAGGACUUGUCCCUGCUUUUCCCCCUGCAGCUCUGGCAGCUGUUGCUCUAUUUCACCUCUCGUCCUUUCCAAGAUAAAUACUUUAAUAAUGGUUUCCUAAUGUUGGAAAUGUAAAACAGCUCAGAGAUGCAAUGAUGUAGCUGCUUUUAUGUGGGACAAAAUCAGUGUUAAGAAAGUAUAAGCAGUCCAUCAGAUAAAUGUGUGAUUGGGCAAUGUUAAAGAUCUUGCCUAAAAUUUAAACUUGACCUAACACAGAGCCAUGUAACAAUAAAGAACAUAUUUUGUGAAGCAAACAAUAUACAAAUUUAAAAGGGUCAAAGAAAAAGCCUUGAAGGGUUUAUUAUCAAUCCACAUAUGAGAAAGUUAGUCAUUUGAUAACAGUAAACUGGGGAUUAGAUUAACAAAACACAACCACAUAAACCCUCUGCCUGAGAAGUACAAGACACAGGACAAGAGACAGGCCCCACUCCACAUGCCCCCACUUUUAAGGUCAGCACUGGACCUUUUGUGCACAUAGGACCAGGUGCAGCUCAUUGAGUGGACACAUCACUUGCAGAGUGUCAGACAACACAGAGGUAAACGGAACCCCUGGAAGAGGGCAAAGAUACAAAUGUAACAACUGUCUGAAUCAUUAGGAUGGUGCAUGUACCAUCUAUCUAUGAAUACAGAGGUCUAAAUGUAGAUUAUAUACACUCAGAUAUAUACAUUAGACUUAACAAUGUGUUUGCACGGUUAAGGAUUUUAUGUGAUGACCAUAGAAAUGUUUUGUUGCCGUUAAACUGUGUCUGAGAUGACAGAUUAAAAAAAAAAAAUUAUAGGAUAAGUCAUAUAGUAUGGAGUGCAUUGUCAAGUUUUAAUAUCCAUAAUAUCAAAAAGAUAAGCAAAUUUUAUCACCGAAGUGUGUGUGUGUGUGUGUGUGUGUGUGUGUGUGUGUGUGUGUGUGUGUGUGUGUGUGUGUGUCUGAGAGUGACUGGCUGUCUGUCUCACUACAUGCCCAGACUUGUCCCCACUUUGACACCUGAGAACAUCAUGAGCAUUGAUCUGACUCAUACCCUUUCAAGAUGCCAUUUUUAAGAUGCCACUUUGUUUCUUGUUUCUAUCACUAUUGUUUUCUGUUUCUGUUCAUCUUUCAUGUGUGUGUAUGUGUGUUAACAUGUUUGCAUUGUGAGGUUAGACAGCAGUGUGAGAAACACCCUCUGACCCAUUUCACUGACAGAUGCAACAAGAUUAAAGUUUUUUAUUUAUUUACUUAUUUUAAAAUUCAGACUAAAGGCCACCGUUGUUUGCUUUAUAAUGUUCAAUAAGAGACAUGUUGAGAACAUCAAACACAGUGGUCCCUAAAGAGAAAGCAGCUGCCCACUGGUGGCCCCUGACAGUACUGUGGCUUGGCAGUAAGAGCUACUUAAUAAAUAUGAACGUUUUAACUUCUAAUAUCCAAAUAAUUUGAUUGCAAUGAGAUUGCCAUUUUAGUGCUUCUUUGGAAUUGUUGGGUGUAUGUGAAUGGAUAUGUCUUAGUGCUGCAUGUAUAUUUCUGCAUAAAAUUUAACAGUGUAUUAAACGAAAUAAAUAAAUAAAUAAAUGGAGUACAUCUUCUUGAGUGUUGAUCAGAGCUUUUUGUUGUAAGUUUUCUAGAAUAUUUUUAGAUUUCAAAUAAUGCUGGGUCAUUCUCAUAACUCUUUCAAAGAGUUAUAUAAUAGUCUGAUUGACAGCUUGGAUUCAAAUUUCACUGGAAAAUGAAACGUCCACAUCAAUCAUGAAUAUGAGCUUCUGAAUAUUUAAUCAGGUAUACACAAUGAAAUCUAGUGUGUCUGUGUUUCUGUCUACCUGCCCACCUGCAGGUCUGUCUGGCUCGCUGUCUAUGAGGCAGAAAAAAAAGGAAAAAAGUGUCCCUGAUCCUGGCCACUAGGGGGGACAUGAAGGUCAGCCUGGUUUACCCUCUUUCAAAACCAAAUUUAAGCUCAAACGCUUACUUAUUUCCCAUUAAGGCAAGAAAGCAAUAAAAAAAGCUGUUAAGUCUUUUCUUGUAGUGUAAUUUUUAAAAAUCUGAAUUAUUUAGUCUAUCACGACCCUACUUGCUUGGCUAAUUGUGUAUUUACGUAGUUGAUGUAUAAGGUUCAAGGCAUGUGCUUUUAUUUUGAAGGACAUUUCACGUGCAGUAAAACGGAAAUCGUGCUAUACCGAAGGGAGUCGUUAAUUUAUGGCCUGAAAAAAGGAAAACAAUGUUGUUUUAUAUGAAACAGUUUACACAGUGUCAUUCGUGCAAACGUAUGUUACAUUUUCUAGUCUUGCCUAAUAAGAUGGUAAGACUCUGCAUGCCAGCAAAGAUGCUGUGUUGUUUAGUUCGAGAUUUAAUGUAGGCCUACGGUAUUUGGCGUGUUAAUGUUCCACUUGUCAGUACGAUCCCUUUCAUACAGUAACAGGAUGGUUGGAGCUACAGUGCUUAUCUGUCACCUACUGUGUGUUAAGUUAUGUUUAAUGUUAAUUCUGAAUUAAAUGUUAAUUUAGAUCCUCCCUGCAGCACUACUUCGGCUUGUCAGUUGAUCUAGGUUGUGGAAAAAUGUAACACCUGUUUUAUUCCCUUUUAUUUGUUCUUUCAGGGUGUUCAGAGCAUGUCUUGAAACUUUUGAAGUCAUAGUUUCUAUGAUUUAUUACUCGAAGACAGCCUGCUCCAUACUCUGAGGAGCCACUUUUCAAGCCCACUAAAGGUAAGUUUUCUGACUCAUCAGUUUUUAAUGUAGACUCUCUGUUUUACAGAACAAACAGGACCCUUUAAUACACCAGAUGAUCCAUAAUGUUUGUGGUCAAGCCUGAAAAUCACUUCUUUGAUGGAGCAAAUGCUAUGUAUCCCAAACAGAAAAGGCCAUUUUAAUGCACCACGGCCUCUCUAACUCUGACAGUGAAGCUAACAAAGAUAAAACUAUAAAAUAUCAGAUCUCUACUUUCUGAAGAGGGGUAUGCUAUGCUGCCUUUCAUGAAUCACUCAUUCUACAGAUAUGCCUGACAAUAAUUUACUAUAUCUGAGCCUUGGGUUGUAUUCAGAGGCUGGUUUUGUCAUCAUUUGCAUUUUAACAUCUGUCAAAAUGAUUUAAAAUACCAUUUUGUUGUAACUGGAACAUAACCUGCAACUUCAAUUUCCCUUUGGCUUUCUAAUGCUUCCAGUCACUUUCUCUAUACAGUACAAAAACUGCAAAGCUCGCGUUCUGCAUGUUCCCUGCAGAUUAUUACCAGAAGAUGAAGGAAACUGUUUUAUUUUUAGCAAAUGAAAUCCUAGCACAUUUGACAGAAGGAUAUUCCACUUCAAGAGGUGUUGAAAAGCUGUAUUUCCUGAGCAGCUAUCCCACAGUACUGAGACCUGUGGUCCUCUUUGGACUCUGGCUAAGCUAGGUGGUGACAGCGGCACUGUUGUAAGAGAAUUAUCACUUCAGUCCUGAAGGGAGGGGGGUGUUGUUGACCGAACAGGAUGUCCUGGUGUCUGGUCCCUUCUCAUACGGGCUAUUCUUUCUGUGUCUGUGUCUGUGGACAUUGGGGAAAAUCCUUCAAACAGAUGUGACCACGACUUGAAAAGAUUCCAUCCCUUUUUUAAUGUUGGGAUCUUCCUGAACCUUACAUUUUGCUAGAACAACUUUUCCCCUUCUAAAAAUGGAGUUUGCCAACACAUGUAUUAUGACAGAAAAUGCUCGACAGACACUAGAAAUGCAUUUGGGUGAUUGGUGCAUGUCGCUUUGUCUUUGCACUGCGUGUGGUAGAGAGCUGGAGUUAUGAGAUGAGCUCUUCUCUCUUUUUUUCUUUUUCUUUCUUCUGCCCUCUCUGCCUCUUUUCAUGCCCUGGGAAGGUAAACACUCAUCCUAUUUGCUCUUGUUUUUCUUAUAGUAACUGUUGAGCAGUGUGUGCUCCACUCAUGGUUUUAUUGCCUGGAUUGUCAUGCAAGAGGCAGGGGAGACAAGUGUCAAUAAGUGGAUGGGCUCAUUCCAAACAAACGCGCCCGGAGAAUGGGCAAAGAGAGCCCAGGAUGCAGCUGGGUACACACACACAGGCACACACACAGACACACACAAACACUCAGAGACUUGCAACAAAUUGUUCCUUUAUGUCUACACCCUGGAGACAUUAGUCCAACAUGACUAACACAAGAUACAGUAUCUGUACAGCUGAAGUAGCAAUAAAUUCCAUUUUAAAACACCUCUGGGACAAAAUGCUCUGCUAAAUUGUCUUACCAGUUGAACCUUUCACUAAGAAAGGAUCUAUCACAGUUCAGGUCUUUAAAGUAACAGGACCUAAAUCUGCUUACACUGCAGAGACACCUGAACUCUUUCAGUGCCCGUUUUUCAGCCAGCUGUACAAAAUGAAAACCACAGCUGCUGUGGGGAACGUUUGGUUUGUGUUGACUUUAUUGAGCCUAGAAAGUGCAGUGUGUCAUUCUCUGCGGGUCUUGACCUCUAUAUGCAUGAGUGUUCCUGUGGAAAAGUAUCUUCCUACUUUUAUACAGUCAAAAGUAACAGCUACUGUAGGGGCUGGAAAACACUGUGUGACUCCCAAUACAGUAUGACAUAAUUCUACACGACACAGUAAUGAUAAGACCCUUGUACAAUAGCAGUGCAAUAAUCAGCAC